UACGGAGGGGGCUAGCGUUGUUCGGAAUUACUGGGCGUAAAGCGCGCGCAGGCGGUUUUCCAAGUCAGUGGUGAAAGCCCGGAGCUCAACUCCGGAAAUGCCAUUGAAACUGCAAAACUUGAGUACGAGAGAGGUGAGUGGAAUUCCCAGUGUAGAGGUGAAAUUCGUAGAUAUUGGGAAGAACACCGGUGGCGAAGGCGGCUCACUGGCUCGUAACUGACGCUCAGGCGCGAUAGCGUGGGGAUCAAACAGG
rnacentral:rRNA from 1 species